GCAAGUAAAAUAGUAGGAUGGAAUCAUGUCUGACAUCAAGAGAACUAAAUGGUGAUAAUAAAGAAACAGAAUUACAACAAUGUCAAAAAGAAAACACUAAACAUGGUAAUGAGAGCCAUGUAUCCACUCUUAUGACAACGAAAAUGAUCAACAAAAUACUAAAAUGAUCAACAAAAAAUGGACAAGAUACUAAUUGCACAACGCAUGCAAC
rnacentral:lncRNA from 1 species